rnacentral:rRNA from 1 species
GAGUUUGAUCUGGCUCAGAACGAACGCUGGCGGCAGGCUUAACACAUGCAAGUCGAACGCCCCGCAAGGGGAGUGGCAGACGGGUGAGUAACACGUGGGAACGUGCCCUAAGGUUUGGAAUAUUCCCGGGAAACUGGGAGCAAUACCAAAUGUGACCGCAAGGUGAAAGAUUUAUCGCCUUAGGAUCGGCCCGCGUCAGAUUAGGUAGUUGGUGGGGUAAUGGCCUACCAAGCCGACGAUCUGUAGCUGGUCUGAGAGGACGACCAGCCACACUGGGACUGAGACACGGCCCAGACUCCUACGGGAGGCAGCAGUGGGGAAUCUUGGACAAUGGGCGCAAGCCUGAUCCAGCCAUGCCGCGUGGAUGAUGAAGGCCCUAGGGUUGUAAAAUCCUUUCGUUGGGGACGAUAAUGACGGUACCCAAAGAGAAGCUCCGGCUAACUUCGUGCCAGCAGCCGCCGUAAG